GCAAGUAAGAAAGUUUCACAGAAGUACAUCGGGAGAGCUCCCGGAGUUUCGUCGAUGUUGGUUUCGACGAUUUUGUGGUGUUAAACACUGCUUGAGGUGCUGUCAGACUUAAACUCAAAAUUUAUAAAUAUCCGUUUGCGACUUUAGUUAAGGUACGUUUUAGUCACAGUAUCAUAAUUCAGCCUACUUCAUUCUAACCUACAGUAGCGUUUUGGAAUGUAUCAGCUCUGAGCAAAUGAGAUGUGGAGACCGCGACCAUGCAGUACUGACAUGCGAGGAAACUCUGGACGGGAUCAUCUCUACUCCGUUGCUAACAUGAAUCUGGGAUUGCCGUUGAGCUCUGGCUGUGAUGAAGCACACCUGUUACCCCUGAGACUGAUAAUGAAAGAAGAGGACAUCAAAGAAGAGGAAUAUGAACACAUGAUUACAUGCCAAGAUGAAGAAGAAAAGCCCGUUGCAGAUCUUCACUGUAAAGCUGUAACAGACUACACAGAGUCACUUAGCUCCACUUGUAAUGAAAGACCGCGGACAACAGUGGAGGAACACAACUACUGUCUUCUGGAAAGUAAGUAACUUAAGGCUGAUGCACUAAGAGCUGUGUUCAAUGGUCAAUUCAUGAUGGCGUCAAAAUACUGUACGUGUGCUGGCAUUCUUGUAGAUAUUUCAGUGCUCUCAAAUCUAUUAGUGUGAUGCCUUUCAAUCUCCAAGUGUUGGAGAUUUAAAUAGAUAGAUAGAUAGAUGGAUACUUUAUUAAUCCCGAGGGAAAUUUAGGUCAUCCAGUAGCUUAUACACUUAACUUAACUCACAUACAUACACAAAUCACAGUAGAAAAAACAAUACACAUAGGGAGAACAUGUUCACAGGGAGUGGGGUGUAUACAGAUAUUAAACAGAUAUUACAAUGUGCAUUGAUUGUGUCAGUGUUGAUGUCCACGAGGAUAGUAGUGCAAAGAGUGCAGAGAGAUGGUGAGAGAUGGUCUUCAUGUGCUUGUGUGGAUAGUGCAAAGAUAGAGUACUUGUGCUUGUGUGUGUGAGGAUAGUGCAAAGUGAUAUAAAUAGUACAGUCUGUGCAAUGGGCUAGUAUAGCCAGUAAAAAGAGUAAAAAUGUCACGUGUUGAUCUUGUUGAUGAAGUGGAGGACAGAUAUGGCUGUUGGGGUUUAAUGAAGUGGAGGACAGAUAAUAAAUAAACAAUAAACAAUAAAUAAA
ensembl:lncRNA